UAUAAGCCAGUGGCUACAUCGAGCUGAGGGGAGAAUCAUAGUACUUAGGCUAUGAAAAAUGUUUGAAAGCAAAGAGAAACGGCCCAAUAGUCGAGGAGCUGGACAAGGACGACAAAAUAUUCCCCCUUUCAGCUCAGCCAGCAGUUGUGGAGAUGACCUGUGUAAGGCCAGCUACAAUAGCUCCUGGAGUAAUAUCAUCCACUCCUGGACUGACGAGACCUAUUACAGUGGAAACUACACCAACCACCCCUACAAGUCAUGAUGCACCUCUGGAGACUGUCCUGGUGCCUGCGAUAGCAGACUGUGCACCAGCCCCUGCCUCUAUGCUAAUAAGUACACCAACUGUGCUGACACGGCCAAGCAGCCGGGGCUGCAGCAACAGUCAUGUCACCUCCUGGUGUCCUGUCUCCUGCAGGACUCAUCAGACGGUCUGAUCAGCCAGAGACAUGUUCUGACCAAUCAUCCUGAUAGACAACAACAAUCAUCCUGAUAGACAACAACAAUCUCCUAAUAAACCUGGUCAUGACUAAGGUGUCCUCCAUCCUGCAAUAAAUAAUCAUCCUUUGGUUAAGUUGUAAAAUGCUAUUAAGGGACAAUACUUACUCUUUCCCUUUCAGGUUUGUGGCAUAAGUCGUAUAAUGAAAGCAAUUUCUAAACUGUUCUCAGGUGACGUAGGGCAAAGAACCUAUGGUAAAUUCUCCCCUGGCACCCAAUGAUCUUGGCGAAACAGUACGCACAGGGACAAAACUGAUGACAUCAUCUGAGGUGUUAGGUGAGGGGGAGGGAUGAACCAACUGAUAGAGGUCUACUUUUGGUAGGGUCCAACACGGAAAAGUAAAACUUCACAUACAAUGGAGCCACCCCAACAGAGCCCAACGUCAGAAAGGAUGACCCCCGGGGGCCUCCCGGGUGGCGCAGUGGUUAAGGGCGCUGUACUGCAGCGGCAGCUGUGCCACCAGAGACUCGUAACCGGUUGCGACCGGGAGGUCCGUGGGGUGUCGCACAAUUGGCCUAGCGUUGUCCGGGUUAGGGAGGGGUUGGCCGGUAGGGAUAUCCUUGUCUCAUCGCGCACCAGCGACUCCUGUGUUUCCUCCGACACAUUGGUCCUGCUGGCUUCCGGGUUGGAUGCGUGCUGUGUUAAGAAGCAGUGCGGCUUGGUUGGGUUGUGUACCGGAGGACGCAUGACUUUCAACCUUCGUCUCUCCAGAGCACGUACGGGAGUUGUAGCGAUGAGACAAGAUAGUAGCUACUAAACAAUUGGAUACCACGAAAUUGGGGAGAAAACGGAGUAAAAUUCAACAACAAAAAAAGAAAAAGAAAGGGUGACCCCUCUCUAUUCACACCCUUUGGCACAUCCCAUCAGUCUGGGCUUAACACAGUAGGACCGGAAGCAACCGCUUGGUUCAGGGACUUUGCAUCUGCUAAAUAAAAGAAGACACAUGUCUAUCUGGAACUUUCCACAAUGUUUACCUUCUGACUGUGGCCCUGACUCAAAGUCAGAUAAAAUUUAACAAGGUAUAUUAGUUUGAACAUUUCUGCAAAGUAGGUAUAAAUGUGUCAGUGGAACUUUGAAUAAAAAAAUAUUUUUACUAGUCGUCAUCUGGUUUUCAAUGUUUACUUCCCACCCUCUUCUUGUAAAACUACAUGACUCCCUUCCCAGUGAAAACAAGGCAAAGCAGACUAGAUGAGUGUAAUUGACAGUGAAGUGCAGGAUACGAGGAGUAACAUAGGAAGUGUCUCAGUAACACAGGAAGCUGGAGAGAGGACUUCCUGUCUGCUGAGGUGAGGACUUAAUUGAGACCUUGACAUUCAGAGCUCUCACGUAACUCCUCAAGGUCAGAACUCUUCAAGUGAGAAGCUUGGCUGCAGAUGUUUGAAGUAGACAGAAUCCAGACUCACUGAUCCCCUUUGAAUGAGGCUCUACUUGGGUGUCUUACUCCUCCAUGCUCACCCCCCACAUGUCAUUUUACUGGAUUGAUGGCCUGCAUCCGAUGGUCAGGGAUGGAGAGAGCAGAGGUAACGCUGCCUCUCACCCGACUCUCCGUCCCUCCGCUCUGCCUCCAUGUGUUUUGAAAAGGGGACAGACACAGUCUUCCAUCUUUGGCCUGAAUGCCAAGCGUCACACCUGGAUGAAACCUAGCAGCAUCCCUACGGUGAAGCAUGGUUGUGGCAGCAUCAUGCUGUGGGGAUGUUUUUCAGUGGCAGGAACUGGGAGACUAGUUAGGAUCGAUGAAAAGAUGAACGGAGCAAAAUACAGAGAGGUCCUUGAUGAAAACCUGCUCCAGAGUGUCAGGACCCGGUUACGAACCCGGGUCUCCGGAGUGAGAAAUAGUCACUUAACCAACUGAGCCACGAAUAGUCGGCAGAACCCAGAAGAUGAGGCAGACACAGCAGUACUUGAGAUGGUGUAUUUAAUGAAGUAAAAAGUGAAGUUCUUCAGGAAAACAUGUAACUCCACAACCUCAAAAGGAAUCCUACAAGAACAAAGGUAAUCCUCCAAGACAAAAAAGGUAAAUCCACAAGGUGGAAGGUAAAGCACAAAAAGCCUCAAAAGAUACUCAAAAAACAAACAAGCAAGAACAAAAAACAGAAUUCCAUAGAAUUCAGUCAUCUGGUAGCCAAAACAAAGUGAAAGAUCGCUGACUAUGCCGACUAAUACUAUGCUAAUCAUAAAUCAAUCCAAGUGAUUUUGGAGACUGUUAGAGACUCAAAUGUAUGACCAAAAACAGCUGAUAUUUUAGAACAAAUGUUUACAGAUUAACAAACAGCUAUUUUUUGAGACUCAAAUAUCAGACUGUCUGAGAUGUUUCAGA